rnacentral:rRNA from 1 species
GAUGAACGCUGGCGGCGUGCCUAAUACAUGCAAGUCGAGCGAACAGACGAGGAGCUUGCUCCUCUGACGUUAGCGGCGGACGGGUGAGUAACACGUGGAUAACCUACCUAUAAGACUGGGAUAACUUCGGGAAACCGGAGCUAAUACCGGAUAAUAUAUUGAACCGCAUGGUUCAAUAGUGAAAGACGGUUUUGCUGUCACUUAUAGAUGGAUCCGCGCCGCAUUAGCUAGUUGGUAAGGUAACGGCUUACCAAGGCGACGAUGCGUAGCCGACCUGAGAGGGGGGACCGGCCAACUGGGAACUGAACAACGUCCCAACACCCACGGGGGGGCAGCGGGAGGAAAUCUUCCGAAAGGGGCGAAAGCCUGAGGGAGCAACGCCGGGUGAGUGAUGAAGGUCUCCGGAUCGUAAACCUUUGUUAUUGGGGAAAAAAAAAUGUGUAAGUAACUAUGCCCGUUUUGAGGGUACCUAAUCAAAAAGCCCCGGAAAACUACGU